AUUUUUAGAUUAUGAUGGAUCCCAUAGUGCUCACUGCCUACCAGGCAUUCAAGUAGAACAUGUGUAUGUGGCUCAUUCAUUCAUCAAGAACCUGUGCACUGCUUUAAAUGCUGAAGAGUCAGCAGUGAGCAAAUCAGGCAGGAAUUCCGGUCUUCAUGGAGCUUACAUUCGUCAGGAGGUCGGGGCAAGGUUGGUAGGGGAGACAGAAAUAAAUAAAUAGUUAUACGGGGCAUCAGAUGAUGGUUAUGGCUGUGGAGACAAGUGAAACGGAAGGCGCAUGGGAAGUGGGAGGAGGAGGUGGUAACGAUUUUAAAUGGAGUAGUCAGGAUGGACUCACCGAGAGGAUCACAUUUGAGAGGGGUCAAACCGUGGAGGAUUCCCAGUGGGGGAACAGCUGGAGCAAAGGUCCUGAGGCAAGAGAGUGCCUGGCACGUUCCCAAAACAGCACGGAGGCCAAUAGGGCUGGAGCAGUGAACGAGGAGCUUCCCCAGGAACACAGACAUGCCACUGAGCUCAACCCAUUGUAUGCGCCCAUCCCAAAACUUCAGUUUGGAACAGGAAGCAGGAACCUGCAGCAUCCAUAUUUUGGCGAAGGGCUGAUGGACAGCAGUGUUGGAACUUCUGGAGUCUACUUUCCACUGUCCACCAUACAAGCUGAGGGAUCUGUCCCUACUGGCUGUGGUUUGGCCAUUGUCUGGGCUAUGUAUCCUGCAAUCCUGACUCGAGCAUUCCUGAAGUUUCUGUAAUCUGUCUGAUACCACACUAGCCAGUGAAGAUUCUGUGAUCUACUGCUAAGAGGGCUGUGUGAUGUUGAAAAUCAUUUCAGGAGUAUACCAGCAACAGGUGCUCAAGGGUGAGCUUGAGAAGUCGAGAGAAUUUCUAAUGGCCUGCUUGCUUCUUCACUGACUUCUGGGUUAAAGGUGGCCUAUGAUGCAAGAAGUUGAGAUGCUGGAAAUGCUCUUACAUUACAUAAAAGGAUCCAAAAACAGGCAGCCCAGAAUGUUGGAGUGGAUUUAUUAGGUAUGUCAUCCAUCCCCACCUGUGUUUGCUGAGAGGGCUUAGAGGACACUUUUGCCCAUCACUGAGGAACUUGUUGGUGAGAAAUGCUGGCAACUUUGGCCUGUCAAGGGUGUGGGUGGGAGCCUUUGCCUAUGAAGUGGCCUUCCUGCUUUCAGGGAGGAUAAUGGGAUCUUAGGGUUGACAAUGGCCAAGGAAUGGCUCAUAAGCACCAAAGGCAAAAUGGGCAUGGUUACUGUAAUAAGCAGCAGGGCUGGAGUGGGUGGUAAUCAGAUGGUUUGACCUACAGAGAUCCUUGGGAGUGACUAAUGGAUUGUGGGUUUCCUAAGAAUUGAAAUUGGUCAUUCUACUAAAGUUUUACUGAUAUGUAUUCUGAAUCUGGAUUUGCCUUCUCUGCCUGCCACAUUUCUGCUAAUCCCUCUAUCCAUAGACUUCACGCCUUACUCAUUUUCAUGGAACCAAAUUCAAGCCUGCUUCUGAUCGAAGAUCUCAUUUUGUAGCAGGAGAAGUGAGGCAAGCCUUCCAGUUAAUGGUGGCAGAUAAAAUACACAUUUUAAUUUUGCUUCCUUUUGAAAGCUCACUACAAUUAAAGUAGAUGGUAAAGAGAAAAAAAUAUAUAGCAUAAACUCUCAGGAACAUAGUAUACAACAUACUCUACAGGGACAUAACAAUACCACCACGGAUUCUGGAAAGCAGGUGAUGUGUGAUGAGCAGCGUAGCAGUCCUGACUCUAAGUCAGCAGUGGGAAGCCCAGAUGCAACUCUUCUAUACCUCAGAAUCCACAGAGAAGGUCCAGAAUUGGCAACACCAGGUACCUUUAAACAUACAGGAGAAUCAACCACCACCUGGUAGAAGCCAGGUGUUUCAUUUCCAAAGAAGGUAAACCAGAGGGCUCUUGACUAAGACACUCAGCAGAGGUGAAGGCAGUGGUGCAGUGUGAACACUGGGUAAUUAAAAGAAACUCCAUGUUCUAAAUGGAAAACCCUAUUCCCACUCAGCUCCCAGAAAGCUGGCAGGUCAGCUAUGACCUCCAAAUAGAGAAUUGAAAUUGAGGGAUCUGACAGCCCAAGAGGAAACAAAAAGAUAUCAGUAAGCCUGGUCAAAUCAUCCUACAGUGAAGCCCUCUAAUUAACAAGGCCCUUCACACAUGCUGAGUUUCCAAUGAGCUCUUUGGCGAUUGAUAUGGUUUGGCCAUGUCCCCACCCAAAUUUCAUCUUGAAUUGUGGCUCCCACGAUUCCCACGUGUCGUGGGAGGGAAUUGAAUCAUGGGGGCGGGUCUUUCCCUUGCUGUUCUCAUAAUGAAUAAGUCUCACAAGAGCUGAUGGUUUUAUAAAGAGGAGUUGCCCUGCACAAGUUCUCUCUCUGCCUGCUGCCAUCCAUGUAAGACAGGACUUGGCUCCUCCUUGCCUUCUGCCAUGAUUGUGAGCCCUCCCCAACCAUGUGGAACUGUGAGUCAAUUAAACCUCUUUCCUUUCUAAAUUACCCAGUCUCAGGUAUGUUUUUGUCAGCAGUGUGAAAACGGACUAAUACAGUGAUCUACUUUUUUAAAUGUUUGAAAAGACGACUUCUGGCCUGGACAAAAUGGUGUAAACUUGUUUCCCCCUGCUCCUUCCUGUCAAGUACAACUAUGAACUGUGAAAACAAUGCAAGAGGCAAUCAGAAGAUAACACUGAAAGCUGGCAAGGGAAUUAUGCAUUAGUUUGGGACCCUAAGAAUAAAGGAACAACUCAGUGGCAGGAUAUCUUAUGUGCCCCCACUCAGUGGAAGAAGAUGACCCAGGCCUGGUGUUUCCAGACACCCAGCCUAUCAACAGAAGGCAGCCAAAACAGGCUCAGCCCUCUUACAAUUUGAAGAGGAGUCCCUCUGACAACUCCACAUGAGCCCAGCACCACCAGAGGGGAGAUUACUCAGGUGCCCCACUAACAAUUAGCAACCAGGGGAAGCACUCUCCUUUCACACUGGGCCCGAAACUCACCUCCCCUGCCAAGAGAGCUGGGCAGCCUGACCUGGGAACACCCCUUCUGCCCUCUCAGGCAGCACCAGCAGGAACCAGCAGGAGCUCCAGCAGCACCAAAGAAACCAAGCAUAUGAAAAGAACACCACAAAGCAUCUGAAAAUUAAAUUGUCAUUGGAACCUCAGCCCACUGGAACCUCAGUCCUCAGACCGAGAUAUGCAUGAUAAAUGUAAACAAGGUGACUGAUGUUGCAACCAAUGAACUAAGUAGGACCCAGAGUCUCCUAACAUGAUGGCCAAAAUAUCUAAGACACAACUGAAACUCACCUGUCAUACCAAGAAUGAGGAAUAUCACAACCUGAAUGUGAAAAGAAUCAACUGGCACCAACACUGAGAUUAACCAGUUGUUAGGAUUAUCUGGCAAGGAUUUUAAAGUGGCCAUCAUAAUAAUGCUUCAACAAUUGAUUCAAAUUUUAUUGGAAUGAAUAAAAAAAUUUAAAAUCUCACCAAAAAAGAAGUUAUAUAGAAGAACCAAAUGGAAAUUAUAGAACUGAAAAAUACAACCACAGAAAUAAAAGCCUACUAGAUGGCCUCAAUAGGGGAGAGAUGACAGAAGAUAAAAUCAGUGCUUGAUUGAGGACAGAUCAAUAGAAUUUACCCAGUCUAAACAACAAAGACAUAAUAUUGUGGGAAGAAAUGAUAUAUAUAUAUGUGUGUGUGUGUAUGUGUGUGUGUGUGUGUGUAUACAUAUAUAUAUACACAUAGAGAGAGAGAGUCAGUCUCAGGGGCCCAUAGGACAAUAACAAAAAAAUCAGUGUUUGUAUCACUGCAUAUCAUUGCAGUCUCAGAAGGAGAGGAGAAAGAAUGAGGCUGAGAGAAUAACUAAAGUAAUAAUGCCUGAAGACUUCCAAAAUUUGGUUAAGACACAAACCAGCACAUCCAAGAAGCUGAGAAAACCCCAAACAGAAUAAACCCAAAUAAAUCCAUGCCAAGACACAUCAUAAUUAAACUUUUGAAAACUAAAGACAAAGAAAAAAAUAUCAAAAGCAGACAGAGAGAAACAAUACAUCACCUGUAGUUAAACACCAAUUCAAAUGACAGUGGAUUUAUCAUCCAAAACUAUGGAGGCCAUUUGGGAGGCCUACGCGAGCAGAUCACUUGAGAUCAGGAGUUCAAGACCAGCCUGGCCGACAUGGUGAAAACCCAUCUCUACUAAAAAUACAAAAAUUAGCUGGGUGUGGUGGCACACGCUGGUAGUCCCAGCUACUCGGGAGACCAAGGCAGGAGAAUUGUUUAACUCAGGAAGCAGAGGUUGCAGUGAGCUAAGAUCAUGCCACUGCACUCCAGCCUGGACUCUAACACUCGCUGGACACAGUGAGACUCCAUCUCUAAAAAAAAGCAAAACUAUGGAGGCCAGAAGGAAGUGGUACAACAUAUUUCAAGUGCUGGGGGAGCUAUCAGCUGUGAAUUUUAUAUCCAAUGAAAGUAUCUUUCAGGAAUGAAGGGGAAGUAAUCCCAGAAAAUCCCCAUAAAAUGCUUACAGGAACUAAUCAAUGAGUUCAGCAAAGUUGGAGGAUAUAAGAUUAACACACAAACAUUAAUUGCAUUUCUAUUUACUAACAAUGAACAUGAAGAAAAUGAAAUUUAAAACUUAAUACCAUGUACAGUCACUCAAAAGAAAAUGAAAUAUUUAGGCAAAACACAUAGAGGAUAUGUAUGCCAAAAACUACAAAAUGCUGAUUAAAGAAAUAAUGGAAGAGCUAAACAAAUGGAGAGACAGAGUGUGUUCAUGUGUUGGGAGACAACAUAGUAAAGAUGUCAAUUCUCCUCAAACUGAAUUAUAAGUUUCAUUCAAUGCCUAUCAAAAUUCCAGCAAAGUUUUUAAUAGAUUUAGACAAGCAUAUUCUAAAAUUUAUAUGGAAAGUUAAAGACCCUCGAAUAGUUAGAAUAAUCUUGACAAAGAAGAAUAAAGUGGGAGGAAUCACUCUACCUGAUAUAGCUACAGUAGGCAAGAUCAUAUGGUAUUGGCAAAGGGAUAAACAUAUAGAUCAAUAGACCCGAACAGAGGACCCAGAAAUAGAUCCAAAUAGGCUCAACCGAUUUUUGACAAAGAUGCAAAAGCAAUUCAAAACUUUUCAACAAAUAGUGCUGGAGCAAUUAGACAUCCAUAGCGGAAAUAAUAACCUCAACCUAAAUCUCACAACUUACACAAAAAUUAACUUGAAAUGGAUCGUGGACUUAAGAUGUAAAACAUCUAAAAUGACUUUGAGCCAGGUGUGGUGGCUCGUGCCUAUAGUCCCAGCUCCUCGGGAGGGUGAGACAGGAGGAGGAUUGCUUGAGCCCAGGAGUUCUGGGCUGUAGUGCACAGUGCUGAUUGGGUGUCCACAGUAAGUUCAGCAUCAAUAUGGUGACCCCCUGGAAGUGGGAGACCACCAAGUUGCCUAAGGAGAAGUGAACUAACACAGGUUGCAGAUGGAGCAGGCCAAAACUCCCAUGCUGAUCAGUAGUGGGAUUGCACCUGUAAAUAACCACUAUACUCCAGCCUGGGCAACACAGCAAGACUAUUGUCUCAAAAAAAAAAACUUGAAAAAGAAGAAAGUUAAUGGUCUCCCACGUCCUGAUUUCAAAACUUACUACAAAGCGACAAUAAUCAAAACAGUGUGGCACUGGCAUAAAGGCAGAUAAUAGAUGGUGAUAGUUAAUUUUAGGUGUCAGUUUGACUGGACUAAGGGAUGUCCAGAUACCUGAUAUAACAUUAUUUCCAGUGUGUCUAUGAGGGUGUCUCUGGAAUAGAUGAGCAUUUCAAUCAGUUGUGCAUUGUUGAUGGGAAUGUAAAACAGUAUAGGUGCUGUGGAAAACAGUAUGGCAGUUCCUUAAAAAAUUAAAAAUCGGCCAGGCACAGUGGCUCAUGCCUGUAAUCCCAGCACUUUGGGAGGCCAAGGCAGCUGGAUCACGAGGUCAGGAGAUCGAAACCAUCCUGGCUAACAUGGUGAAAUCCCAUCUCUACUAAAAACACAAAAAACUAGCCAGGCAUGGUGGCGGGCACCUGUAAUUCCAGCUACGGGAGACUGAGGCAGGAGAAUGGCAUGAACCCGGGAGGCGGAGCCUGCAGUGAGCCGAGAUCACGCCACUGCACUCCAGCCUGGGCGACAGAGCGAGACUCUGUCUCAAAAAAAAAAAAAAAUUAAAAAUCAAAUUACCAUGUGAUCUAGCAAUUCCACAUUUGAGUAUAUACCCAAAAGAACUGAAAGCAGGGCCUUGAAGAGAUAUUUAUAUACCCAUGUUCAUAGCAGCAUUAUUUGCAAUGCCCAAAAGGUGGAAGCAACCCAAGUGUCCACUGAUGAAUUAAUUAAUAAGCUAAAUGUGGUAUAUAUAUUAUUCAGCCUUAAAGAGGACGGAAAUUCUGACACACGCUACAACAUGGAUGAAGUGUGAAGACAUUAUGCUAAAUGAAAUAAACCAGUCAAAA
rnacentral:lncRNA from 1 species